rnacentral:rRNA from 1 species
AACGAACGCUGGCGGCAUGCCUAACACAUGCAAGUCGAACGAGACCUUCGGGUCUAGUGGCGCACGGGUGCGUAACGCGUGGGAACCUGCCCUUAGGUUCGGAAUAACUCUCCGAAAGGGGUGCUAAUACCGGAUAAUGUCUUCGGACCAAAGAUUUAUCGCCUUUGGUUGGUCCCGAGUUGGAUUAGCUAGUUGGUAGGGUAAAAGCCUACCAAGGCGACGAUCCAUAGCUGGUCUGAGAGGAUGAUCAGCCACACUGGGACUGAGACACGGCCCAGACUCCUACGGGAGGCAGCAGUGGGGAAUAUUGGACAAUGGGCGAAAGCCUGAUCCAGCAAUGCCGCGUGAGUGAUGAAGGCCUUAGGGUUGUAAAGCUCUUUUACCCGGGAUGAUAAUGACAGUACCGGGAGAAUAAGCUCCGGCUAACUCCGUG